UGGAGGGGGCGCUUGGCGGGUGGCUGGGAGCCCGGUGGGGACCCUAAGCCUCGGAAGCCGGGGGCUCCGACCUCUUGCCCUCUCCGGGGCCCCGCCCCUCCCCAGGUCCUCGCCGCCCGGCCUCUCCCCGCGUGACCCCUCCUUGACCACAUUCCCGAGCAGGGGCCCGGGGGCGCCCGAGGGCCCCCACUUCCCGCAUGCCGAUCCCUCGGGUCCCACUUCUGCUUGGCCAGGCAUUGCACAUAGAGGAGUUGUGCGUUCCCCAGACCAGCUUCCGUUAGCAGAGUGAAUGAUUCAGAGAGAUGUCCAGAUUGUAAAACGUCACAGUUUCCUGCUUCUUGACACGUUGAGAUUUUUCAUUAGGUGCUGGGUGCUGUGAAUUUUACAUCAUUGAGGGUCUGGAUUGCGAUCUUACUUUAAAAAGUGUUGAGUUUUGUUCUGCCAAGCUCUACUCCAGGAAGUGAAAAUGUGGCGCCUCGAGAGCCGCUGUUUUUAAUCUUCUGUGAUUUGGACACCAUUUAACUAAGCUUGUAUUCGAAAUAAAUAGUAAGUAAUGUGAAUAAAUCUUUGCUAUGUGUAAUAUAUGUGGAAUUUGUCAUUUCUUUUUUGGCAGCAGCGAUUUCUUCUCUCUUUCCCUCUCUCCUUCUCCUUCUUUGUUGGUUUCCUCCUUUUUUUGAUUGGGUGAGAUUGGAGAGCUGAGCUCCCGAAUGGUUGGUUCUGGUCCUUGACCCUUGCCCAUUUCCCUGGCCUAGGUAUCAUAGGCUGCCUGCUGGAGUCAACUGGAAAUUAUAAAAUGAUGCAGCUUGGAGGGUCCAGAAGGCCAUCUAUUUAAGCCCUUAUUUUACAGAAAUGAAGGACUCUGAGGCACAGAGUGGGGGCGUGAGGGGCCGGGUUUGAGGACAUAGCGUCAGGGUUGGACUCGGUGUGCAGGUUUCUUGAGACCUGGCCCGCUUUCUGCCCUGCCACUCUGCCACGUCCUGUUCCCUGCCAACUUUGAACAUUUAUUUGUUUGGCUGCGCCAGGUCUUAGUUGUGGCACGCAGGGUCUUUAGUUGUGGCAUGCGAACUCUUAGUUGCAGCAUGCACGUGGGAUCUAGUUCCCCGACCAGGGAUCAAACCCAGGCCGCCUGCAUUGGGAGUUUGGAGUCUUAACCACUGGACCACCAGGGAAGUCCCUGUUUCCUACAAACUUUGAGCAAAAUGUGUGUGAAUGAGGAAAUAGAGUGUUUGUGUGAGGUAAAAUCAUGGAGGAAAAUUCUCUGCUGGCUGUGGGCAGGUUUAGGAUUAAAGUACAUAAACCAGGGCUUCCCUGGUGGCACAGUGUUAAGAAUCCGCCUGCCAAUACAAGGGACACGGGUUCGAGCCCUGGUGCGGCAAGAUCCCACAUGCCGCGGAGCAACUAAGCCCGUGCGCCACAACUACUGAGCCUGCGCUCUAGAGCCCGCGAGCCACAACUACUGAGCCUGCACUCUAGAGCCCGCGAGCCACAACUACUGAGCCCACACACCACAGCUAGUGAAGUCCGCGUGCCUAGAGCCCACACUCCGCAAUGAGAAGCCCACACACCGCAACCAAGAGUAGCCCCCGCUCGCCGCAACGAGAGAAAGUCCGCGCACAGCAACAAAGACCCAAUGCGGCCAAAAAUAAAUAAAUUUAUUUUUAAAAAAAAGUACAGGGCUUCCCUGGUGGCGCAGUGGUUGAGGGUCCGCCUGCCAAUGCAGGGGACACAGGUUCGUGCCCCGGUCCGGGAAGAUCCCGCAUGCCGCGGAGCGGCUGGGCCCGUGGGCCAUGGCCGCUGAGCCUGCGUGUCUGGAGCCUGUGCUCCGCAACGGGAGAGGCCACAGCAGUGAGAGGCCCGCGUGCCACAAAAAAAAAAAAAAAAAAAAAAAGUACAUAAACCAAAAAAGGCUUCUGUUUGUUGCAGUGUUUGGCUGUGUUUGCACUCAAAGCUGAUAUUGAUAUUGUAGGAGAAGCUUUAAUCCUUUCAUUCAAAUUUACAAGAAAUGCUGUUUCCUUUUAGUUUAAAAAAAAAAAAAAGUCCAAGAGAGCAUUUGAUUUGAGUAACCAAAAGUCUAGAAAAUGUAUCCGGGAGUCCUCAUCAAUUUGGGGCAUAAUGAAAUAUAAAAAAUACUCAAUAAAAGCUCCUUUAUUACUUUAACUGUUUAAAUGUGGAGUUUUUAGCCAUCAGGUUAAUGUUUUGGUAUCAUUUUUUUAUUUGAUUGUGAGCACUUUUCCAGGUAGCUCUGCCACUAGAGCGCUAAUCAGAUUCCCACAGAUGAAUGGUGCUAGCUGCAGCCUGACGUCACCGCAUUUUUGCUUCGACAUUAUUUUAUUUGGUUUUCCUGUAAAAGUUAAUAACUCUGUGUCCAUGUGUUUAAACAGGCAAGAAGAGAGAGAGAAAGGACAGUGAACAGAAAACCAUGAGUGAUGUCUCAGGAAGCUUUUGCCAAAUUGAGGAGAUGUAGGGAUUUUUGUGAUCUCAGGGUCUUUCACCCUAGCACAAUUAGGGUGUGGAGAAUGAAGAAGAUUGCAAAGCAAGAUGGUGAUUCUUAAUCCUUCCGAUAACGAAAAGUGAACCUCUCUCUGUUUCCCAGACGGAGCUGGAAGGAAUUAGAAAUGAGUUCCCAUUGAUUUAGAGGAGGAAGAGGGUGCUCAAUAGGAUGGAUUUGCUUAAUGGUGGAAACUGUUUAAGUUUUGGGUUAAUUGUAAGUAAAAUACAUGCUCA